GUAGCAUUCCUCACGGACAUCGGGCCGCCAGGCGCAUAACGCCAGUGCGACGCCAAACGUCGUUCGGUCGAAGCGCGUUCAGCGCUAGUUUUNNAGGCAGACGAGGUCAGAGACCCUUUGCCUCCCGCGUGUUCCGCGUCCAUGAGAUCGGGCGAGCGAUCGUGGGCCGCGACAAGAGCNNAAGAAACACGUGCACAUGCCGCGGAACGCAAUCGUCGCCUAAGGGUUCACCCGUAGCAAAACCGUUUAGAACGGGCAGAGCACGGGCGAACGGUACAANUUUCGACAAAGGAAUUCCAUCAUCGUAGGUAUGCAACACAGGAAACCGAACGCGACGGCCGAGGCUAAAGUCGCUCUCGCACCAACUAGUGAAGAGGAACACACGGGAGGACGUCGCUGCCCUAGCAGGGAUCC
rnacentral:misc_RNA from 1 species